UACGAAGGGGGCUAGCGUUGCUCGGAAUCACUGGGCGUAAAGGGUGCGUAGGCGGGUCUUUAAGUCAGGGGUGAAAUCCUGGAGCUCAACUCCAGAACUGCCUUUGAUACUGAAGAUCUUGAGUUCGGGAGAGGUGAGUGGAACUGCGAGUGUAGAGGUGAAAUUCGUAGAUAUUCGCAAGAACACCAGUGGCGAAGGCGGCUCACUGGCCCGGUACUGACGCUGAGGUGCGAAAGCGUGGGGGAGCGAACAGG
rnacentral:rRNA from 1 species